rnacentral:rRNA from 1 species
UCGGGAAUAUUGCGCAAUGGAGGAAACUCUGACGCAGUGACGCCGCGUAUGGGAAGAAGGUUUUCGGAUUGUAAACCAUUUUAGACAAGGAAGAAACAAGACAGUACUUGUAGAAUAAGCUCCGGCUAACUACGUGCCAGCAGCCGCGGUAAUACGUAGGGAGCAAGCGUUAUCCGGAUUUAUUGGGUGUAAAGGGUGCGUAGACGGGAAGGUAAGUUAGUUGUGAAAUCCCUCGGCUCAACUGAGGAACUGCGACUAAAACUGCUUUUCUUGAGUGCUGGAGAGGAAAGUGGAAUUCCUAGUGUAGCGGUGAAAUGCGUAGAUAUUAGGAGGAACACCAGUGGCGAAGGCGACUUUCUGGACAGUAACUGACGUUGAGGCACGAAAGUGUGGGGAGCAAACAGGAUUAGAUACCCUGGUAGUCCACACCGUAAACGAUGGAUACUAGGUGUAGGGGAUAUUAAGUCUUCUGUGCCGUCGCAAACGCAGUAAGUAUCCCACCUGGGGAGUACGGCCGCAAGGUUGAAACUCAAAGGAAUUGACGGGGGCCCGCACAAGCAGUGGAGUAUGUGGUUUAAUUCGACGCAACGCGAAGAACCUUACCAAGGCUUGACAUAUACAGGAAUAACUAAGAAAUUAGUUAGCUCUUCGGAGUCUGUAUACAGGUGGUGCAUGGUUGUCGUCAGCUCGUGUCGUGAGAUGUUGGGUUAAGUCCCGCAACGAGCGCAACCCCCAAUAUUAGUUGCCAGCGAGUAAUGUCGGGAACUCUAAUAUGACUGCCGGUGAUAAAUCGGAGGAAGGUGGGGACGACGUCAAAUCAUCAUGCCCUUUAUGUCUUGGGCUACACACGUACUACAAUGGCUAUAACAAAGAGAAGCGAAAUAGUGAUAUGGAGCAAAACUCAAAAAAAUAGUCUCAGUUCGGAUUGAAGGCUGAAAUUCGCCUUCAUGAAGCUGGAAUUGCUAGUAAUGGCAGGUCAGCAUACUGCCGUGAAUACGUUCCC